rnacentral:rRNA from 1 species
GACGAACGCUGGCGGCGUGCUUAACACAUGCAAGUCGAACGGACCGCUCUAGCUUGCUGGGGGUUGGUUAGUGGCGAACGGGUGAGUAACACGUGAGUAAUCUGCCCUGGACUUUGGGAUAAGCACUUGAAAGGGUGUCUAAUACUGGUUAUUCUGCAUUGGUCGCAUGGCUGGUGUGGGAAAGGUUUUUUCUGGGUUUGGGGAUGGGCUCGCGGCUUAUCAGCUUGUUGGUGGGGUAA